CAUGCUGUCCAUUACCAUUUUAACUUCAUUCAUCCUGGCUACUCUCCUCAUCACAAGUUCGGUUCAAGAAUGGCCCAGACGUAGAUGUGGUGAUGAAUUGACCAAAUUUUGGAACGAUGUUUGCAUUCCAUAUCUGUUAUAUGAUCAAUUGCCACAAUUCCACAAGAGGACAGACAACAAAAACAUUACAGGGGAGUGCUGUGAAAGUCCAUUUGGUUGCAAUUCUCAUUCCAUGCUAAAAUAUUGUACUGAUGAAGCGCCUCCAAAUGAGAACGACUCCAUUUGAAUAUAAUGGUUUUGCUCAGGAAAUUAAAUGGAUUUCUUACUAGUUAAUUAAUAGAAUGAUAGCAACAA